rnacentral:rRNA from 1 species
CAGUCGAGCGGUAGAGAGGUGCUUGCACCUCUUGAGAGCGGCGGACGGGUGAGUAAUGCCUAGGAAUCUGCCUGGUAGUGGGGGAUAACGUCCGGAAACGGACGCUAAUACCGCAUACGUCCUACGGGAGAAAGCAGGGGACCUUCGGGCCUUGCGCUAUCAGAUGAGCCUAGGUCGGAUUAGCUAGUUGGUGGGGUAAAGGCUCACCAAGGCGACGAUCCGUAACUGGUCUGAGAGGAUGAUCAGUCACACUGGAACUGAGACACGGUCCAGACUCCUACGGGAGGCAGCAGUGGGGAAUAUUGGACAAUGGGCGAAAGCCUGAUCCAGCCAUGCCGCGUGUGUGAAGAAGGUCUUCGGAUUGUAAAGCACUUUAAGUUGGGAGGAAGGGUCGUUACCUAAUACGUGACGAUUUUGACGUUACCGACAGAAUAAGCACCGGCUAACUCUGUGCCAGCAGCCGCGGUAAUACAGAGGGUGCAAGCGUUAAUCGGAAUUACUGGGCGUAAAGCGCGCGUAGGUGGUUUGUUAAGUUGAAUGUGAAAUCCCCGGGCUCAACCUGGGAACUGCAUCCAAAACUGGCAAGCUAGAGUAGGGCAGAGGGUGGUGGAAUUUCCUGUGUAGCGGUGAAAUGCGUAGAUAUAGGAAGGAACACCAGUGGCGAAGGCGACCACCUGGGCUCAUACUGACACUGAGGUGCGAAAGCGUGGGGAGCAAACAGGAUUAGAUACCCUGGUAGUCCACGCCGUAAACGAUGUCAACUAGCCGUUGGAAUCCUUGAGAUUUUAGUGGCGCAGCUAACGCAUUAAGUUGACCGCCUGGGGAGUACGGCCGCAAGGUUAAAACUCAAAUGAAUUGACGGG